rnacentral:lncRNA from 1 species
CUUCAUUGCUAGGCUCUCGGCAUCCAAAGACAUGAAGCCCGUUGCUUUAGAAGAGGCCUUUGAGCUUUAUUGCCAAGGUGUAAGCAAUUAUGGACCUUAUUGGGACCACGUUCUAGGGUUCUGGAAAGCAAGUUUGGACCGACCUGAUAAGAUUUUUUUCUUGAAAUACGAAGAAAUGAUAGAAGAUACUGUUUUAUACAUUAAGAAAUUAGCUGAUUUCAUCGGUUAUCCUUUCUCUUCUGAAGAAAUCAAAAAAGGGUCAGUCGACAAGAUCGUAAGCAUGUGUAGUUUCGAGAACUUAAGCAAUUUGGAAGUGAAUAAAAGUGGCAAACAUCGUGAAGGAACUCCAGGGGUGAUUGAAAACAAGAUCUAUUUCCGAAAAGGUAAGGUUGGGGAUUGGGAGAAUUAUUUGACACCUGAAAUGGCUGCUCAGUUGGACUCGAUAACGUUACAGAAGCUAAAUGGUUCAGGCUUAACUCUGUGAUUGAAUCAUAAAGCAACCAUGGGGUACAUUGUCCCUUCUCUGCAAUUUCGACAUAUUGUGUUUCUAAAAAUAAUUUGCGUAUGCUUUUUGCAAGUAGCAACACUUCUCGUGUUGCUCAUGUUAAGAUCAAUAAAAAGUAUAGUUGGUUCAAUUGAAAUCGAUUCAAUUAAUAUAAUUUGAUAUAAGUGAUUUGAUUUUGUUAUUUUAAUUUUUAUGGAUAUACUACACCAACUGUCCUAAGCUUUGUAUCAAAAUUACAUUUCGGUUACCCAACUUUUAAAAUUUAUAUCAUAGUCACUAACAUUAUCAAAUUGUUACAUUUUUGUCACUCGACUACUGUUAACUUCUGUUAAAGAAGUAACGUUGCACCUUAAUUCAGAAGGUUAAUAGUUAAUUUGGUACCUGAACUAUAGUUAAAAAAUUAUUUUCAUAUUUAAAUUUUUUUUUACAAUAAUUGUAAAAAAGUAAAAAAAAGUCUUAAAAAUAAAAUUCAUAUAAACAAGAAACAACUAAGAAUUUUGCUACUGUCUUUGCUCUCUCUCUCUUUUUUUUUUUUCUCUUUUUUCAUGCAAGUCAACGUUGGCUCCGCUCUUCCCUAAUCUUUAAAAAUAAUAUAUAUAUAGGUUUUAUUUAUAGCUAAAAGUAAAAUAUUGACUUGAAAUUUGAGAGAAGAAAGGUGGGUUUGGAGAAGAAGAAUAGCACUUUGUAUUAUAAAUUUAAAAACGAAAACCCAAUCAGUGUAACACCCCAAACCCAACCUAGACAUUAUGGCUGAAUCUUGAAGGUUACAUUAACUUCUUGAGAAUUUAGAUUGUUAUUUUCUGAAAUGUCAACUUGUUUUUCUGUAAAAGUAAAUUCUUAUAAAAAAACACGUUUUCACUUAUUAGUUGCAAAAAAAAAAAAAAUCCAUUCUACAAUAAGGGUUUCUUUAAAACAUUUGUUCUUUAGUACUAAAUUGAAAUAAUAGACCUAUAGUGAACUCGCUUAUUUUUCAGAAAAUUAGAUUUCUCAUUUUGUUUUGCAGUGGAAAAACUUUUACUUGUAUAAUUUUGAAAAUCGAACAUUUUUUUUAAUUAACAGAAAUCAUGUAGAAAAUUUAAACUAAUUAACUAAAAACUGAACAAAACCCAAAUCCAAAAUAAAAGUUCAAAAAUUAGUUCGACAGUCCAAAAGUCCAUAAAUUUUAAUUAAUAAUUAUUUAAAAUGAUCUUAUGCAAGAAAACUAAUACGAGCUCCCGAGUGCCGCCCAAUCCUAAUCCCGUGGGUUACCUGAAAUAUUAAGCAAGUGGGUGAGCUAAAAAGCUCAGUGUGUGCCUUACUCUACCCGUAAACAUGGACAAAUAACUCUACCAGUAAACAAUUCUACUAGUUGAAACAUGGAAAACACAACAAACAUAAUUUUGACCAACAUAAAGCCCACCAAUUUAAAUGACCCAAUCACCCUUCAAAAACCUAUCAAUACCUUCAUCUACUUAGCUUAAAAUUAGAUCAUCUAAAUUCCAAAUUAAGGCCACUCAAUGCAUAAGGUUGAUUUUAAAGGAGUUUUAUAGAUGUGAUUUAAAAGCACUAAAAUCACAUGGAUGAAUUACAAAAAUUUUACUGUGUACUCGUGAAAUAAAGUAACUUUAUUUACAUAGACCAAUUUUUAUUAAAAUAUUUGCACUCAUAUCCCUUUUUGGUUUAUUUGAUUAUUGUUAUAAAAAAAUUGAAUCGAUUUAGUGCACACUUUAUUUUUUUUUCACCUUCUAUUUUUUUUCAUGAUCUUAUUGAUUCGACCAUAAAAUUUUUUUAUGAUAUGGAAUAAAAUUCUAAUCUAUUAGAUGUGAAUUGCUCUAAUCUAAGCAUAAUUAUUGUACAAUUUUGUUAAAAAAAUACUUUAUUUUAUGAAACUAUAUAUUUUGAAAUAAUUAUGAAUAUAUUAAUAUUAGUCUGUUGAUGUGAACAAUUAUUUUUAAAACUUUUAUAAGAUUUUUUAUUUUUUAAUUUUAAAAAGUACACACGUUCUUUUAUUUGAGUUAUCAUGUUACUUUCAUUAAAAUAGUACAAUUAAUUUUUGUGUAAAAUUUAAAAAUGCACUUCACCUUUUAAAAAUAAAAAAAUGCAUAGGACAGCACUAACUACAUUUAUUUAUUAAUUUAGUUCCUGUAAUUCUACUCGAAUUCAAGAAAUCACGUGGUGGACAUAAUAAAAAACUGAUAUUAAAAGCAAAUAAUUCUCCACACUAAGAUCACAUGGUUGAAUUAAAAAAAGUUGAUUGCGUAAUUGUGAAAGAACUUACCUUUUCUCUAAAGCUAUUUAUAGAUCCAAUUUUUGUCAAAAUACUUGCACUCAUUUCUCCUUUUGUUUUUCCUUUAUCAAAAUGGCCUCCUUCAAAGAGAUCAUCUCAACACUCCCAAGAAGAAAAGGCUGGACUGACUCAAAUAACGACCUUUUUUUGUAUCAAGGCUUCUGGUGUUACUCGUUUUUCAUUGAAGGAGUGAUGUCGGCUCAACAAAAUUUUCAAUCCCAACCUUCCGAUAUCGUCAUAUGCAGUGCACCGAAAACUGGAACAACAUGGUUAAAGUCCCUCACUUUCGCCAUUGUCACAAGAACCACCUUCGAUGAUUCCACUAGCCCUUUACUUGCCAAUCUAUCACAUGAUUGUGUACCCUUUUUAGAGGUUGAUUUAGCCCAAUCUUCUACCAAUCGAGACCCUAAAAAUCCUUUGUUAGCCACACAUGUCCCUUACUCUUCUUUACCAAGAUCAAUAAUUGAUUCCAGUUGUAAAAUUGUUUACAUUUGUAGGAACCCUAAGGAUUCAUUCGUUUCGUUUUAUCACUUCAUUGCUAGGCUCUCGGCAUCCAAAGACAUGAAGCCCGUUGCUUUAGAAGAGGCCUUUGAGCUUUAUUGCCAAGGUGUAAGCAAUUAUGGACCUUAUUGGGACCAUGUUCUAGGGUUCUGGAAAGCAAGUUUGGACCGACCUGAUAAGAUUCUUUUCUUGAAAUACGAAGAAAUGAUAGAAGAUACUGUUUUAUAUGUUAAGAAAUUAGCUGAUUUCAUCGGUUAUCCUUUCUCUUCUGAAGAAAUCAAAAAAGGGUCAAUCGACAAGAUCGUAAGCAUGUGUAGU